rnacentral:rRNA from 1 species
AUUGAACGCUGGCGGCAUGCCUUACACAUGCAAGUCGAACGGCAGCACGGGUGCUUGCACCUGGUGGCGAGUGGCGAACGGGUGAGUAAUACAUCGGAACAUGUCCUGUAGUGGGGGAUAGCCCGGCGAAAGCCGGAUUAAUACCGCAUACGAUCUACGGAUGAAAGCGGGGGACCUUCGGGCCUCGCGCUAUAGGGUUGGCCGAUGGCUGAUUAGCUAGUUGGUGGGGUAAAGGCCUACCAAGGCGACGAUCAGUAGCUGGUCUGAGAGGACGACCAGCCACACUGGGACUGAGACACGGCCCAGACUCCUACGGGAGGCAGCAGUGGGGAAUUUUGGACAAUGGGCGAAAGCCUGAUCCAGCAGUGCCGCGUGUGUGAAGAAGGCCUUCGGGUUGUAAAGCACUUUUGUCCGGAAAGAAAUCCUUGGCCCUAAUACGGUCGGGGGAUGACGGUACCGGAAGAAUAAGCACCGGCUAACUACGU